rnacentral:lncRNA from 1 species
GGAGAUUUUGAUUUUAUGUCAAUAAUUAUCUUUUUCCAAAUUACCUUAUUUACUCCAAUGGACAUAUUCCAAGUGUCGUAACUACAAUCUCUCCCUCUUUUCUCAACUUAUGACAUCAUCGAAUGAGACUUUUCAAGUGAUUUUGUACUUUCAUAAGCAACACGAGUGGUGCCACCUGUGGAACAGGAACUACUGACCCUUCUGGAGAAUCUAAAACUUUAGUUUUCUAGUAUGUAAACGAGAGACGAAAGAUACCAAAGAUACAUUCAAACUCAUU